rnacentral:rRNA from 1 species
CGCCUUGCCAGCCCGCUCAGAAACUCAAAGGAAUUGACGGGGCCCGCACAAGCGGUGGAGUAUGUGGUUUAAUUCGAUGCAACGCGAAGAACCUUACCUGGUCUUGACAUCCCGGAGACCCUUAGGAAACUAGGGGGUGCUUCCAUCUGGAAGAAUCUGGAGACAGGUGCUGCAUGGCUGUCGUCAGCUCGUGUCGUGAGAUGUUGGGUUAAGUCCCGCAACGAGCGCAACCCUUGCCUUUAGUUGCCAGCAGUUCGGCUGGGCACUCUAAAGGGACUGCCGGUGUUAAACCGGAGGAAGGUGGGGAUGACGUCAAGUCCUCAUGGCCUUUAUGACCAGGGCUACACACGUACUACAAUGGCCGAUACAAAGGGCAGCGACACUGCGAGGUGAAGCCAAUCCCGUAAAAUCGGUCUCAGUCCGGAUUGGAGUCUGCAACUCGACUCCAUGAAGUUGGAAUCGCUAGUAAUCGUGGAUCAGCAUGCCACGGUGAAUACGUUCCCGGGCCUU